AGCAGGGAUGAAGGGGCCUUUGCAAGAUCACUAGAACUUUCCUUGCCUCCAGGGCCGGGAAGAGCCUGGGCCUUCCAUGGAAAGACCUGGAGAGAUUGGCUCACUGCUGAGGAGGCUGCUGCUCUUCCCUUAGGUCAGGGAACAAUUUUCGUGUUUCAAAUAAGCUCUUUGUUCCAGAUGUUGGGGCUUCUGGGUCUAGGGAUUUGUAGCUGCUUUGAAAUCAUUUGCAAGACAUAUGGAGCCAGAUUGCUUCACUGGAGUGAAGACUGGGACAUGCGUGGCUACAUAAAGAUGGCCAAAGACCAGAAUAACAACUGCAGAAUCGCCAUGCUGGCCAGCCUUCCUAUUGUGUGAGCUGAUGGAUGGUGAAGAGGAAGGACUUGACUGGGGAUGGCACAUACAUGGGAGGAAUUCAUCUGAAAUCUACCAGCCCCUGCCAUGUGGGAUGCACACUGGAAUCACUGAAGAUUCAAGUGUGAUUUGAAUUCUGUGACGCUUUCGUAAUGGUAAAUGUUACCACUAUUUUGAUUACUGCUAUAACCAGCUUUGCAUUAUUGAUUCACUGAAUGACUUUAGAUUUCUUUUUUGCUUUAAAAGGAUGGAAAAAAUUUUACCUGUUUAAAUAAAACUUAAUUUCACUUGGA
rnacentral:lncRNA from 1 species